rnacentral:lncRNA from 1 species
CGAAAAGUAAAGGCUAUAGCCUUACUUUUUCGCUGUUUUUGACCCACUUAUGAAAAAUGACAUAAGUGGCUAAAAAUGUAGGAAAAGUGAAGGCUAUAAUAGCCUUACUUUUUUGCUGUUUUUGGCCCACUUAUGAAAAAUGGCAUAAGUGGCUAAAAAUGGACGAAAAGUUAAGGCUGUAGCCUUACUUUUUUGCUGUUUUUGGCCCACUUAUGAAAAAUGACAUAAGUGGCUAAAAAUGGACGAAAAGUUAAGGCUAUAGCCUUACUUUUUUGCUGUUUUUGAC